GAUGAACGCUGGCGGCGUGCCUAAUACAUGCAAGUCGAACGGAGAUUGUAGCAAUACAUUCUUAGUGGCGAACGGGUGAGUAACGCGUUGGUGACCUGCCCCGAAGUGUGGGAUAACAGCUCGAAAGGGUUGCUAAUACCGCAUGUGGUUUUUCGGAUUAGAUGCCGAAUUUCUAAAGGAGAAAUUCGCUUCGGGAGGGGCCUGCGUCCCAUCAGCUAGUUGGUAGGGUAACGGCCUACCAAGGCAGUGACGGGUAGGGGACCUGAGAGGGUGGCCCCCCACAAUGGAACUGAAACACGGUCCAUACACCUACGGGUGGCAG
rnacentral:rRNA from 1 species